rnacentral:rRNA from 1 species
GACGAACGCUGGCGGCGUGCUUAACACAUGCAAGUCGAACGGAAAGGCCCUGCUUUUGUGGGGUGCUCGAGUGGCGAACGGGUGAGUAACACGUGAGUAACCUGCCCUUGACUUUGGGAUAACUUCAGGAAACUGGGGCUAAUACCGGAUAGGAGCUCCUGCUGCAUGGUGGGGGUUGGAUAGUUUCGGCGGUUGGGGAUGGACUCGCGGCUUAUCAGCUUGUUGGUGGGGUAGUGGCUUACCAAGGCUUUGACGGGUAGCCGACCUGAGAGGGUGACCGGCAACAUUGGGACUGAGAUACGGCACAGACUAGUACGGGAGGCAGCAGUGGAGAAGAGUGCACAAUGGGCGGAAGCCUGAUGCGGCAACGCCGCGUGCGGGAUGAGGGCCUGCGGGUUGUAAACCGAUUUCGCCUGUGACGAAGCGUGAGUGACGGUAAUGGGUAAAGAAGCACCGGCUAACUACGUG